UAGCAUCUGAAGUGGAAGAAAACAUAGCUGAGCCUUUCACUUUCCCUCUCUAACCACAACAAUUGGAGGAGACUUCAGCCUGAAAAAUCUAUCUGCUACUAAAUGGUACCCAGAUGGAAAUCACAGCUGCUCUCUGGUACCAGCUGUACCUAUGCCCAUCCAUCUUCAGAACAUGCCUGCGACUGAGGAGAGAGAAAAAUUGGGUUGACAGAGCAGUUAAAGAGCCUCUCUUUUCUUCUGCACACUUUUCCUUUUAUCUUUUUCCCUUCAGUUUCAGAGCUCCUUGUUCUCACCUUCAUGCUGUAGCAGCGUUGACAAAAGAAAACUGCAGCCUUGGAAAACCAGUGGAAUUUCAUUGCAAAGAUUGUGCUGGGAAAGUUUCUCUCUCCCACCAACAAGUAUUUUGGAGGAAGGAACCUUGAACACCUGGAGGAAUAUUCAAGAUUUAACUUAACAAAUAAGUAGCAUCCACGGUCUUCACAUUAGGACAGCUUGUUAGAAUUUGAGUCUCGCUUUCAGCUGGCAAUAUGCGGUACAAUCCUCUCUCAUGACGCUGGACGGCGGCAGUGAGUGCAGCUCCCGGGUCAGCCCCGCAAUAACCAGGGUAAACAACUGGUACACUGACAACCUUUCUCUUCAGUACAGUAUUCAGUAAAUUACAUGAGAUAUUCAAUACUUCAUUAUAAAAUAGGCUUCGUGCUAGAUGAUUUUGCCCAACCAUAGGCUAAUGUCAGUGUUCUGAGCACGUUUAAGGUAGACUAGGCUAAGGUAGGAUGCUUGGGAGGUUAGGUGUAUUGAAUGCAUUUCGACUUAUGAUAUAUUCAACUUACGAUUCAUCUGGAGUAACCCCAUUGUAAGUCAAGGAAGAUCUGUACAAAGAUGAGAAAGACACAAUGCUGCCCUCAAGGAGCUUAUGAUUCAUUCUGUGUCAACACAAUUCUGAAGCUUCAAUACAAACUGACACAACCAAGAGAAUUAGCCAGAGGACCAACUGUUUUCAAAAUAUACACUCAUUUCACCAAAGCCAGGAAUUUUCCUUUUCAAAGCAUAAUUAUACUUUAUACAAGGAGACAGCCAUUAGCACUAGUGAAAAUGUGUCACCUAAUUUAUAGACAUCAAAGUUGAAAAUCUUCACAAGUCAUUGGGAAAAAACAUCUUUAGUCUCAGUUUGCAGAUGAAAGUGAAAUGCCGUGUGUUCACUGCCAUGUGGGUGUCUUUCUGCAGACCUGCCACUAAGCAGGCAUAACCUUCAGGGGAGAAGGCAAACUGGAAAACGAGGUGAGAAGUAGGAGAGUCUUGGGAAGCUAAUGGAGAGAGUUGUUUAGUGUAAAAGUUUCUGUCUGCACACACAGCAACACUCACAUGGUUAGAACAAAGAGUAAUUGCAGCAUGCUUUAUUAAUUGAAAGUAAAUGCUCUCUUUGUGAAAUGGCUUGAUACUGAAAAACCAAACACAUGAUAAAAGGACUUGCACAGCCAGCAGAGAAACCUCAGCUUUGAAAGAUCUGCCAGGAAGGAGAAAGUUUAGAAUGGAUUUGUUUUCUGGCUCCUCACAACAAAUAAACCACCAAGGGAGCCCCAAGCAUCUGAAUAAUGAAUCAAUCUCCCUGUUGUUGCCCCUCUCCCUCUUGGUCUCCCUCUCCCCUAUCCUCUCCCCCUCCUCCCCUCACUCCCCCUCCCUCUUGCUCUUCUCUCUUCUCAUAUGUGUGUUGGAAAAUGGUAAGCAAGUAACCGGGGAGUUGCUAUAUUUUGGGUCCUCUCAUUCAUGAGGCAACUAGUACCUGAAAAAAAAAAUGAAUUCCAUACAUCCUUCCCAAAGAACUAGG